GAUGAACGCUGGCGGCGUGCCUAAUACAUGCAAGUCGAGCGAACGGACGAGAAGCUUGCUUCUCUGAUGUUAGCGGCGGACGGGUGAGUAACACGUGGAUAACCUACCUAUAAGACUGGGAUAACUUCGGGAAACCGGAGCUAAUACCGGAUAAUAUUUUGAACCGCAUGGUUCAAAAGUGAAAGACGGUCUUGCUGUCACUUAUAGAUGGAUCCGCGCUGCAUUAGCUAGUUGGUAAGGUAACGGCUUACCAAGGCAACGAUGCAUAGCCGACCUGAGAGGGUGAUCGGCCACACUGGAACUGAGACACGGUCCAGACUCCUACGGGAGGCAGCAGUAGGGAAUCUUCCGCAAUGGGCGAAAGCCUGACGGAGCAACGCCGCGUGAGUGAUGAAGGUCUUCGGAUCGUAAAACUCUGUUAUUAGGGAAGAACAUAUGUGUAAGUAACUGUGCACAUCUUGACGGUACCUAAUCAGAAAGCCACGGCUAACUACGUGCCAGCAGCCGCGGUAAUACGUAGGUGGCAAGCGUUAUCCGGAAUUAUUGGGCGUAAAGCGCGCGUAGGCGGUUUUUUAAGUCUGAUGUGAAAGCCCACGGCUCAACCGUGGAGGGUCAUUGGAAACUGGAAAACUUGAGUGCAGAAGAGGAAAGUGGAAUUCCAUGUGUAGCGGUGAAAUGCGCGGAGAUAUGGAGGAACACCAGUGGCGAAGGCGACUUUCUGGUCUGUAACUGACGCUGAUGUGCGAAAGCGUGGGGAUCAAACAGGAUUAGAUACCCUGGUAGUCCACGCCGUAAACGAUGAGUGCUAAGUGUUAGGGGGUUUCCGCCCCUUAGUGCUGCAGCUAACGCAUUAAGCACUCCGCCUGGGGAGUACGACCGCAAGGUUGAAACUCAAAGGAAUUGACGGGGACCCGCACAAGCGGUGGAGCAUGUGGUUUAAUUCGAAGCAACGCGAAGAACCUUACCAAAUCUUGACAUCCUUUGACAACUCUAGAGAUAGAGCUUUCCCCUUCGGGGGACAAAGUGACAGGUGGUGCAUGGUUGUCGUCAGCUCGUGUCGUGAGAUGUUGGGUUAAGUCCCGCAACGAGCGCAACCCUUAAGCUUAGUUGCCAUCAUUAAGUUGGGCACUCUAAGUUGACUGCCGGUGACAAACCGGAGGAAGGUGGGGAUGACGUCAAAUCAUCAUGCCCCUUAUGAUUUGGGCUACACACGUGCUACAAUGGACAAUACAAAGGGCAGCGAAACCGCGAGGUCAAGCAAAUCCCAUAAAGUUGUUCUCAGUUCGGAUUGUAGUCUGCAACUCGACUACAUGAAGCUGGAAUCGCUAGUAAUCGUAGAUCAGCAUGCUACGGUGAAUACGUUCCCGGGUCU
rnacentral:rRNA from 1 species